rnacentral:rRNA from 1 species
AAGCUUGCUUUUCUGAUGUUAGCGGCGGACGGGUGAGUAACACGUGGAUAACCUACCUAUAAGACUGGGAUAACUUCGGGAAACCGGAGCUAAUACCGGAUAAUAUUUUGAACCGCAUGGUUCAAAAGUGAAAGACGGUCUUGCUGUCACUUAUAGAUGGAUCCGCGCUGCAUUAGCUAGUUGGUAAGGUAACGGCUUACCAAGGCAACGAUGCAUAGCCGACCUGAGAGGGUGAUCGGCCACACUGGAACUGAGACACGGUCCAGACUCCUACGGGAGGCAGCAUUAGGGAAUCUUCCGCAAUGGGCGAAAGCCGACCGGAGCAACGCCGCGUGAGUGAUGAAGGUCUUCGGAUCGUAAAACUCUGUUAUUAGGGAAGAACAUAUGUGUAAGUAACUGUGCACAUCUUGACGGUACCUAAUCAGAAAGCCACGGCUAACUACGUGCCAGCAGCCGCGGUAAUACGUAGGUGGCAAGCGUUAUCCGGAAUUAUUGGGCGUAAAGCGCGCGUAGGCGGUUUUUUAAGUCUGAUGUGAAAGCCCACGGCUCAACCGUGGAGGGUCAUUGGAAACUGGAAAACUUGAGUGCAGAAGAGGAAAGUGGAAUUCCAUGUGUAGCGGUGAAAUGCGCAGAGAUAUGGAGGAACACCAGUGGCGAAGGCGACUUUCUGGUCUGUAA